UACGUAGGGGGGCAAGCGUUGUCCGGAAUCAUUGGGCGUAAGGAGCGUGUAGGCGGCCCGGUAAGUCCGCUGUGAAAGUCCAGGGCUCAACUGUUGAAAGCCGGUGGAUACUGUCGGGCUAGAGUACGGAAGAGGCAAGUGGAAUUCCUGGUGUAGCGGUGGAAUGCGCAGAUAUCAGGAGGAACACCUAUAGCGAAGGCAGCUUGCUGGGACGUUACUGACGCUAAGGCGCGAAAGCGUGGGGAGCGAACAGG
rnacentral:rRNA from 1 species